CUAAAAUAUAAUUAGUUAAUCUCGAUUUUUCGGGUAAAAUCAGGUCCAUCUGUAUGGAAAGGUGUUUUCGUUUGAGCACAUCGUGUUUGUUUGGUGUGGCAUGCUCAAUGUCACACACAUAAACAAAAGAUUCACGAACCCGCUCCUUGAAGUCAGCACUGUCUGUAUCUGGUCUGUUUACUUCAGUCGCAGCUGAAUCCACCGUGAAUACAACAAGUCGGUAAGAGCCAAGUGGAGGCUGGAGGAAAUUGCUUCAUCUGUAGAGUGGUUUGGACGGUAUGCAAACUGAAGCGUAUCGAG